rnacentral:rRNA from 1 species
AUUGAACGCUGGCGGCAUGCCUUACACAUGCAAGUCGAACGGCAGCACGGGAGCAAUCCUGGUGGCGAGUGGCGAACGGGUGAGUAAUAUAUCGGAACGUGCCCAGUCGUGGGGAUAACGUAGCGAAAGCUACGCUAAUACCGCAUACGAUCUAUGGAUGAAAGCGGGGGAUCGCAAGACCUCGCGCGAUUGGAGCGGCCGAUAUCAGAUUAGGUAGUUGGUGAGGUAAAGGCUCACCAAGCCGACGAUCUGUAGCUGGUCUGAGAGGACGACCAGCCACACUGGGACUGAGACACGGCCCAGACUCCUACGGGAGGCAGCAGUGGGGAAUUUUGGACAAUGGGCGCAAGCCUGAUCCAGCAAUGCCGCGUGCAGGAUGAAGGCCUCGGUUGUAACUGCUUUGUACGGUAACGGUAAACGGUAAGGACUCUAAU